CGGAGGUCCAAGCGUUAUCCGGAAUCAUUGGGUUUAAAGGGUCCGUAGGCGGUCUUAUAAGUCAGUGGUGAAAGCCCAUCGCUCAACGAUGGAACUGCCAUUGAUACUGUAAGACUUGAAUUUUGUGAAGUAACUAGAAUAUGUAGUGUAGCGGUGAAAUGCUUAGAUAUUACAUGGAAUACCAAUUGCGAAGGCAGGUUACUAACAAACGAUUGACGCUGAUGGACGAAAGCGUGGGUAGCGAACAGGAUU
rnacentral:rRNA from 1 species